UGAGUAACUGCUAGAUCCUUGGACUUC
rnacentral:piRNA from 1 species